AUAAUAAAUUAAUUUUAUCUUUUAAAAAUUAUUUUCCAAUUUUAAAUUAUUGCGGACCACCUGCAAUACAGCCACAGACCACUAAAGGGCCGCCAGUUCACAACCCCUACAAAUAAAGAACACAAUAUUUGCAAUUGCUUGGGUUGAAAGUGCCUUCAGGGUGACUGCAUGUAUUUUUUAUUUAGCAACAUUAGCAACACAGUUCCAGCCUUAAUCUGUGGAGUUUGCAUGUGGUAGCAGAUGUGGCGCUGGUGAUUUCAGGCUCACAGUCAAGGAGCAUAUCUGACUCAAGGGGCAUAUUAAGAAAACAAAAAAGCCCUGCUGGGUGAGUGUCGUCACAUAGGCGAUAGGACCGGGCCGGCGAGCUAUGUCAUGGGCCGGCUCAUUAUAAUCCCAGCAGCGGCUGUACCAUCUCCAUUGCAUGCUUGGUGCCUUUGCCCAAUGCUAUCAAACCCAACGGACAUAAAUUUGACUUGAAGUGAUUUGAUAUGGCAAAAAGCUAAUUGGUUGAGUGUCUUUAAAUGAACCAUAAAAAGAGAAGAUUCAUAUUGCACUAAUUAAAAGUAUUUGCUACCCCACGCCUACAGCCUGCCCUGGAAGUGUUUUUCCUCAGAGAGCUUCGCCGUGCCUCACUGACUGCUGGGAAAAACACGAGGUAUGAAAAGGCAACCUUCCUUUCACUCAGCAUGCCAGGCGUUUUAUCCGGCACCUUAAUGUAGCAAUCAGACCCAAGCGUGAACGCUGCCCACCCAGUCCAUCAACCUCCCUCUGUACCAUGCGCGACUGAUUGGCUGAAUGAGAAGCAGGAGUCGAAACCUUCGCAGGAGACCACAGAAAAGUGCCGCCGCAAGCACCACGAGCGGUGACAUCAUCACAAAGCCCAGGAUGAUGAGGGCAGAGCAACUGUUGUCGUCAAGACAUACGGAGACAGUACGUUGGAAUCAACUCACCCUGGAAUGGCACAGGAAUCCAGCAUAGAGCAGCACCACUGCGGGCAGCAGCACCAAGGAGAAGACCAGCGUCAGGAGCACAGCACCAGCCAGGAGCACACAUAUGUUCCAAAGAACCAGAACCACCCCACAGACCACGCAGCCCGCCCUGCCUCUUUUGGUGCCCCACGCGGAACCCCCGCUGUGGGCCACGGGAGGGGGCAGCAUCUUCACUCGUUCAUCCAGCCACAAGUCUUCAUCCUUCUCCUCUUCAAGUGAGCCUCCAUCAUCCAGGUCAACAUCAGUGCCACACAUUCUGAAGAUGGGAGCAACACUUUCAAAGUGAAAUAAUAUCAAGGAACUGGAAAUGGAAUGGAUCUAGCUGCUCGAUGCUGAACCUGGCCCUCAUUCCAAACCAGCAGGCGGUCAAGUCUCAGAGCUCAUUAACACACAAUCUUACCUCCCACACCCAAACCACAGUUUAUUGGUCUGAAAGAGACAAAAGGAGUGGCAAAGAAUCUUCUUGACUCACUUUAUUAAAUAUACAUUGAGUGCCCUAAGCGGGGCCAAAGUGGGCAUAAGUGACACAGCCAAAGCGCAACAUGAAACAGAUGCUUAUGUAGUGAAUCCGCUCGCAUCCUCUUUAAUCCUUCACUGCUGGUCCUGAGAGGAAAACAAAAAUCAUGUAGCCUUAGGUGUGCAUGUGUGAACAGACCUUCUUCACGCUCACCUUAACCACGCGGCCAUGAAUCAAGUACGGUGACCUGAAGUCAUUCUGGCAGUUGGAGUAGCCCAUGCCCAAACCCAAACCGGCACCGAACGAGACAGGCCAUGUGCGUCCUGGCGGGAGAACAAAAACAUUCAUUCAUCAGCUAAAUGAGGAGAGCCUGGUUCUCUUUACACUGAUGACUUACGUUUAAAGAGAAGGAUGGAGAAGACAAUCCCUACACCCAGGCCGGUUACUGCAAAGGGGAAGAAAAAUAGACGGCAUUAACAACUCGACUGCAGUGACUCAACUCAAGCGCUGAGGUGGGGUCAUUAUGUUUGAUCCACUCAUAAAGUGUCUGGCACGGUGGACGGGAAACAGACGUCCUGGACUUGGAAUCAUACAACCUUCCGACCUACGUAUUUAUACUUUUUUUAACAUACCAGUGUUAUUUAUAUAUAAUACAAUCUAUACCAAAAUAAAAACAUAGUGCAACAUAAAUCAAAACAAUUAACUCCAAGUAGACCCUUAAAACUGCUAGGUUAAAAAUGAGACUGACCCAGGAGAUUGGGUUGAUUUGACUCAACUUUGGAUUAAAAAAAAAAAAAAAAAGUCUAAAUUUUUAAGCAUAUAAAACACACGUCAAGGAUAAAUGUCCUUAUAGCUUAAAUAAUGCAUUGUGCCAUGCAAAGCAUUCUAUCAAUUGAAAAGGAGAAUUAUUUUAAAAAAUAUAUAUAUAUUUAUAGUCGAGCCCCAUGAUUUGCGGGGAAUAGGGACCUGCUGCACAUGUAGUUAAAGGAAUUGAAUGCUAUGGUGUCGGUCCCAUGCAGCGCAGCCAUAAGAAUUGUCGGGCAGUGGCACAAAAAUCACCACGCUUGUUUUGUCUCGGACCGGAGAGGACCUAGAGGAGGAAUGUGCAGGCCACGCCGCACCCAGUGGCAGGCCAGCCAGCACAGAAAACAUAUAAAAAAAAAAUUGACAAUAAAGCUGACUCUGACUCUGA